UAGGAAAAAACCACAGCCCUUGUGAAGCC
rnacentral:piRNA from 1 species